ensembl:lncRNA novel transcript
CCCUGUAGGAGACACCUCCAGAGAAAGUAACAGCUCUCAAUUGAUUAGCUGAGGAGACCGAUUUUGUAAAUCACUACUUUUCUAACAACACUGGCACAGAUGGCCAAGCAUUCUCCCUUUUCUCAGAGCUGGUUUUCCAUCCCGGAAAGAGGUCUUACAUAUACAAAGUUACUCUAAUCAGUUGUAGAGCAGAGAAGAGGAGAAGCAGCUGGAUGUCAGAGACUGCAGUUUGACGUUGGAGAAAAGCAGCUUGACUUCAGAGGGACAGCUUGACAGCAUGGAUUCAGAGAGGAGAAGAUCACCUUCCUGCUCCGUCCCCUUUCCAGCUCCCUUUCCCACUGAGAGCCACUUACACAGGCAAUAAAAUCCUCUGCAUUCACCACC